UCAGCCCCUCUUUCUCUCUCCCUUUCUUCCUUCUUCUUCUUCCUUCUUCCCUCCCUCCCUCCCUUCUUGUCUUCCUUCCUUCCUCCCUUCCGACAGAGUCUUGCUCUAUUGUCCAGGCUGGAGUACAGUGGCAUGAUCUUGGCUCACUGCAACCUCCAUCUCCCGAUUCAAGCAAUUCUCCUGCCUCUGCCUCCCAAGUAGCUGGGAUUACAGGCACACACCACCACACCCAGCUAAUUUUUGUAUUUUUAGUAGAGACGGGGUUUUACCAUGUUGGCCAGGGUGGUCUCAAACUCCUGACUUCAACUGAUCUGCCCACCUAGGCCUCCCAAAGUGCCAGGAUGACAAGCAUGAGCCACUGCGCCUGGCAGUGCUUCAAUUUCUGAUGCUCUUCCAAUAUGAUGUUACACGAAGGACCAGCCUGGCGUUGGUGGUGGUAACCCAAGGGAGGAGGAGCAAGCCAGAUGCAAGGGCAGUGGACUAAUGUGGUCGUUUCCCUCCCCAGGCCUUGGGACCUUUAUGUAAACCUGGUUCUUACUGGACAGACCUAGGAUUUGUCUAGCUGGAAGGGCCUUCCAAAGUUGCUGUCUCUACUCUUCUAGUUUUACACAGGACAAAGCUAAAGCCCAGAGGGUGAAUGACUUCUUUGAAGCUGGCUGAGGCCAAAAUUGAAACUAGAACUUUAUCUUUUAGAAGGAAAAUGUAUGCAGGACAAUUUUCUUUUCCUUCCUUCCUUCCUCUCCCCCUCCUUCCCUUCCUUGGUAAAUAUUCUUUACAUUUUAUUACCCUUUUAUUUUUCAGAAUAAAUCCUACUCCAGCUUACAAGUCUAUUUUGCUCUUGUCUGGAGAACACGGUUGUGGGAAGUCCACUCUGAUUGCCAACUGGGUUAAUUACUUCAAAAAGAAACAUCCGAGCAUGUUGUUGAUUCCUCAUUUUGUGGGCAGCACCUGUGAAAGCAGCUACAUCAUGUCUGUGAUCCAUGACUUCAUCACGGAAUUACAGUACAGAAACUACGGUACUCAGCUUGAAACAGAUAUUCUUAACGAAGACUCAGAUGGCUUGGUCUUUUCACUUCUUGUGGAAGUAUUCAUUGCUUCCAUCAGUUUAAAGCCAUACAUACUUGUACUAGAUGGAAUUGAAGAACUGAUUGGCAUUUAUGGGAUUUCAGGUCAGAAGGUAACGUCUUUUUAAAAUAACCCCUAUUUUAUCACAACUUUAUAAAAAUAAAACAAUUUAAAAGAAGAAAUACAAAGAAUAAAAACUUCAUUAUUUAGGAUGUAUUAUAUAUAACACCUUUCCAUUGUAUCACACAUCUCUGGUUUUAGCCAACACUGCUUUUAGUUACUGCUUUAUAUUUUAAUUAAUUAAGAGACAGGGUCUUGCUGUGUCGCCCAAGCUGGAGUGCAGUGGGAUGAUCAUAGCUCACUGUAACCUCCAACUCCUGGGCUCAAGCCAUCCUCUUGCCUCAGCUUCCAGACUGCAGGCGCACACCACCAUGCCUGGCCAAUUUUUUUCAACUUUUUGUAGAGAUGAGGUUUUGCUAUGUUGCCCAGUCUGAUCCUGAACUCCUGGGCUCAAGCAAGCUUCCCAGCCUGCCUUCCAAAAUGCUGGGAUUACAGGUGUGAGCCACCGCACCCAGCCCUGCUCUAUAUUUUAUUGAACAAAUACUUCUAUAAUGUAUUUACAAUGGGCCAGGAACCAUUUUAGGAACUUUAAGAACAUUAAUGCAUUUGGCUGGGCAUGGUGGCUCACGCCCGUAAUCCCAGCACUUUGGGAGGCCGAGGAGGGCGGAUCACCUGAGGUCAGGAGUUCAAGACCAGCCUGGCCAACAUGGUGAAACCCCAUCUCUACUAAAAAUACAAAAAUUAGCUGGGCGUGGUGGCAGGUGCCUGUAAUCCCAGCUACUUGGGAGGCUGAGGCAGGAGAAUUGCUUGAACCCGGGAGGCAGAGGUUGCAGUGAGCCAAGGUUGUACCAUUGCACUCCAGUCUGGGCAACAGGAGUGAAACUCCAUCUCCAAAAAACAAAACAAAAACAAAAAGAAUAUUAAUGCAUUUAAUUCGCACAACAACCAUAUGAAGAAGAGACUGUGCUCAUCUUCCCUAUUUACACAAGGCGAACUGCGCACAGAGAUUGUAGGUGGCUUGUCUAAGGUCCUAAGAUGGUUAAGUGGUGGACUCAGAAUUCAGACAUGGGCAUUCUGGUUCCAGCCACUGAGGCCUUUCCCCAUGCACAUAUCUGCCCCCUAUUUUAUACUUUGAUCAGUCUUACUGUUUUUUGUGUUUUAUAGUUUGGCCUACCUCAUCUUCACUGGUUUUACACAUACAAAAUCGCAUUCAUGGGUUGUCAUCUUCAGUUUUUCUCCUGUUUGAAAUAAUAUUGGAUCAGUGGAACCUCUACUAAUACUUGGCACUAGUUAUUACUUUGGGAAGCAGCUUCUUUAAAACUCAAAACUAUAUGUAAUCAAUCAAUUAUGUGAAUAAGAUCUGUUUCUCAUAGAAAAUAUGAUAAAAAAGAAGAAAAUAGGAAAUUAAAUACACUCAUAGUCUCACCACUGGUAACUAUUUUGCUGCUGUAUACCCUUUUUCCUAUGGAUAUCUAUAUAUACA
rnacentral:lncRNA from 1 species